CAUAAUUUAAAGACACCUGGUUAAAACCAAGGUAUGCAAAACACCAUCUCUGAACACAUAACACAUCCAACCUUGAAGCAGAUGGGCUACAGGAUCAGGAG